rnacentral:lncRNA from 1 species
CCCCAGCAGUGAUGUAUGGAAUUAAUGCCACCUUUGCAACAUAAAUUUGAGUUUAAAUUCAAAAGCCAGAGAUAAUAUGUAGGAAUACUUGUCAACGAUAAAGCAGCUCCAACUUUUGACAGAAAGCUAUGAAAGAAGACAUCUUUCUACCCUUGACAACUACCUACCAAAAUAACAAACCAUUUGACUAUCUUACACAAGAUAAGCUCUUGCAUAAACCUAAAAAUUUCCCACGGAAAUUUUUUUGUCCAAUUCAAUCAAUGUUUAAAACAAGAAAUUCAAUUAAAGCAGGUGAAAAUUCUCUUAACACAAAAGUCAGAAUGAUCAGUAAGAAUCUUCUUUUUGGGGGAUAAGCUGCUAACGGCUGUAUAUUUAUCACUAAUAUCAUAUUUUGCAUAGGAGCUGCAGAUAGAAUUCCUCAUUAGCAAUCCCACAAGCCUAAGUAUCAAAUCAAAGCUUUUCUUGGAAACCUAAUUAAAGCAAAUCACCAUUUCUUUUCAAAUUAUGAACCAAUGCCCAACUCCAAUUAACCUUCAAGAACGUAAACACGUAAAAAAUUACGAAUUAUACAAAACAAAGAAAACACAACCCACAAAAAAAUUCCUUUUCUGGGAAGAAGAAAAACGAGGAGGCGUGAAGUCAUACUUUGCCUUGUUUCCUCAAUCGAGUGAAAGUUUCAGAAAGUCCAACAGUUGGUGUGGUGCUGAGGGCAGCCAUGGGAGGUUUGACCAAAGUUAAAAUCUUGAGUCUUUGCUGGUUUCACGAAAGUUUCAGAAAGUCCAACAGUUGGUGUGGUGCUGAGGGCAGCCAUGGGAGGUUUGACCGAAGUUGAAAUCUUGAGUCUUUGGGUAUUAUUAUAGGAAUGAGGAAACGCGUGAUUUUCAAGCUUAUUAGUGGAGUGAAUGAACUGGGUUGCUUUCAGAAAAGAUGCCAUAACAUCAGUACUUUUAACUUUG